GAUGAACGCUGGCGGCGUGCCUAAUACAUGCAAGUCGAGCGAACAGACGAGGAGCUUGCUCCUCUGACGUUAGCGGCGGACGGGUGAGUAACACGUGGAUAACCUACCUAUAAGACUGGGAUAACUUCGGGAAACCGGAGCUAAUACCGGAUAAUCUAUUGCACCGCAUGGUUCAAUAGUGAAAGACGGUUUUGCUGUCACUUAUAGAUGGAUCCGCGCCGCAUUAGCUAGUUGGUAAGGUAACGGCUUACCAAGGCAAGGAUGCGUAGCCGACCUGAGAGGGCGAUCGGCCGCACUGGGAGGGAGACAGGGCCCAGACUCCUAGGGGAGGGAGCCGUAGGGAAACGUGCGCAAUGGGCGAAAGACUGACGGAGCAACGCCGCGUGAUGGAUGAAGGUCUUCGGAUCGGAAAACUCUGUUAUUAGGGAAGAACAAAUGUGUAAGUAACUAGGCACGUCUUGACGGUAACUAAUCAGAAAGCCACGGCUAACUACGUG
rnacentral:rRNA from 1 species